AAUAUUUAAUUUUGUCGUAUGCAGCAUAAUCAUGAUUAUGAUGUACAAUUAUUAACGAUAAGCGACAAUGAUUAGCCAAUAAUAAGUGUGCACCUAAUUUGAUGCGCACGGGCAAUUUUAUUUUCAUUAAUAAAUUUCGGUUCGUCAUUUCAUCUCAAACUAAUGGUAAAUUGUAUCUUAAAUGUGCGAACUUUCGUCAAAAAUGCCGCGCGCGUGCUGUUCAACGCAAGGAUACAAUGCAGCUUCAGAUACGAAAUGGAACACAUAAUCAUACAUUAGAAGAACAAAUUAAAAAAUAUGAUAUUACAUGCAGAAAGAAUAUUAAAAACUAGAUAGCUAUGAGCGUGCAAGUUUAAAAUUUGCAACCUAUGUUAAGUCUCGGCGCGGGACUCAAUUGGUAUAUUACAAAGAUAACACAUAUACACCUA